rnacentral:misc_RNA from 1 species
AGCAGCCGCGGUAAUUCCAGCUCCAAUAGCGUAUAUUAAAGUUGUUGCAGUUAAAAAGCUCGUAGUUGAAUUUCGGGAUCAGUUGGUCGGUCGUGCCUCGGUACGUACUGGUCAAAUUGAUUCCUACCUUCUGACGAACCACGAUGUCAUUAAUUUGGUGUCGCGGGAAAUCAGGACUGUUACUUUGAAAAAAUUAGAGUGUUUAAAGCAGGCUCGCGCUUGAAUACAUUAGCAUGGAAUAAUGAAAUAGGACGUUUGAUUCUAUUUUGUUGGUUUCUAGGAUCGACGUAAUGAUUAAUAGGGAUAGUUGGGGGCAUUAGUAUUCAAUUGUCAGAGGUGAAAUUCUUGGAUUUAUUGAAGACUAACUACUGCGAAAGCAUUUGCCAAGGAUGUUUUCAUUAAUCAAGAACGAAAGUUAGGGGAUCGAAGACGAUCAGAUACCGUCGUAGUACUUAACCAUAAACUAUGCCGACUAGGGAUCGGAUGAUAGUUAAUUUUUAAUGUACUCAUUCGGCGCCUU